ACUCAAAUGAAUUGACGGGGACCCGCACAAGCGGUGGAUGAUGUGGUUUAAUUCGAUGCAACGCGAAAAACCUUACCUACCCUUGACAUGCCAGGAACUUGCCAGAGAUGGCUUGGUGCUCGAAAGAGAACCUGGACACAGGUGCUGCAUGGCCGUCGUCAGCUCGUGUCGUGAGAUGUUGGGUUAAGUCCCGCAACGAGCGCAACCCUUAUCAUUAGUUGCUACGCAAGGGCACUCUAAUGAGACUGCCGGUGACAAACCGGAGGAAGGUGGGGAUGACGUCAGGUCAUCAUGGCCCUUAUGGGUAGGGCUACACACGUCAUACAAUGGCCGGUACAGAGGGCUGCCAACCCGCGAGGGGGAGCUAAUCUCAGAAAACCGGUCGUAGUCCGGAUCGUAGUCUGCAACUCGACUGCGUGAAGUCGGAAUCGCUAGUAAUCGCGGAUCAGCUUGCCGCGGUGAAUACGUUCCCGGGUCUUGUACACACCGCCCGU
rnacentral:rRNA from 1 species